GUAGGUGGCAAGCGUUGUCCGGAAUUAUUGGGCGUAAAGCGCGCGCAGGCGGUCCUUUAAGUCUGAUGUGAAAGCCCACGGCUCAACCGUGGAGGGUCAUUGGAAACUGGGGGACUUGAGUACAGAGGAGGAAAGCGGAAUUCCAAGUGUAGCGGUGAAAUGCGUAGAGAUUUGGAGGAACACCAGUGGCGAAGGCGGCUUUCUGGUCUGUAACUGACGCUGAGGCGCGAAAGCGUGGGGAGCAAACAGGAUUAGAUACCCUGGUAGUCCACGCCGUAAACGAUGAGUGCUAAGUGUUAGGGGGUUUCCCGCCCCCCUUAGUGCUGCAGCUAACGCAUUAAGCACUCCGCCUGGGGAGUACGGCCGCAAGGCUG
rnacentral:rRNA from 1 species